GACGAACGCUGGCGGCGUGCUUAACACAUGCAAGUCGAACGCUGAAGACCUGGCUUUUGUUGGGUUGGAUGAGUGGCGAACGGGUGAGUAACACGUGAGUAACCUGCCCUCUUCUUUGGGAUAACGCCCGGAAACGGGUGCUAAUACUGGAUAUUCACUGAUCUUCGCAUGGGGGUUGGGGAAAGGUUUGUUCUGGUGGGGGAUGGGCUCGCGGCCUAUCAGCUUGUUGGUGGGGUGAUGGCCUACCAAGGCUUUGACGGGUAGCCGGCCUGAGAGGGUGACCGGUCACAUUGGGACUGAGAUACGGCCCAGACUCCUACGGGAGGCAGCAGUGGGGAAUAUUGCACAAUGGGCGAAAGCCUGAUGCAGCGACGCCGCGUGAGGGAUGGAGGCCUUCGGGUUGUAAACCUCUUUCGCUCAUGGUCAAGCCGCAACUGUGGGUUGUGGUGAGGGUAGUGGGUAAAGAAGCGCCGGCUAACUACGUG
rnacentral:rRNA from 1 species